AAUUGAUCUGAAAUUAGUUUGGAGAGUUUCGUUGUGUAAGGUAUAAUUGAUUGUCACCCUCACAUCUGCUAUAUGGCUGCAAAAUCUCCUUGAUCUUGUGUUUACGUUAUGCUUUCGUAGUCGUAUAUUUGUCACCUUACUGUGGUGAAAUUCUCAAAAUCAUUAAAUUCAAUUCGCCGACGUUAGAGAGCAAGUGAAAUACGAAUGUUAUUUUAACUGUUUAGGGAGGGCAGAAGAAACGACCUGCAGAAGCUCAGAAUGCUAUUUUGAGAAAGCACAUGAGGGAACUCACGCAAAGUUUCAUUAUACCAUUGGAACGUUACGCUGCUAGUUUGAUGCCUUUACAAAGAAGUAUUUCUCCGUGGAAGCUACCCCCAAAACUUAAGUCUUUCGAUGCCGAAGAGUUUUUGAAAACAGUUGAACAUUCUGGUCCCCAACUUACGACUGGAUUAAAGGAGACUGGAAA